rnacentral:rRNA from 1 species
UACGUAGGGUGCAAGCGUUGUCCGGAAUUAUUGGGCGUAAAGAGCUCGUAGGCGGUUCGUCGCGUCGGCUGUGAAAUCCCGAGGCUCAACCUCGGGUCUGCAGUCGAUACGGGCAGGCUAGAGUUCGGUAGGGGAGAUCGGAAUUCCUGGUGUAGCGGUGAAAUGCGCAGAUAUCAGGAGGAACACCGGUGGCGAAGGCGGAUCUCUGGGCCGAUACUGACGCUGAGGAGCGAAAGCGUGGGGAGCGAACAGG